AAACAGCCCAUUGGAGAUCCACAUGCCUGGAGAUGCGUGGAGAUGUAAGGGCUGCAGACGUGCAUCAUGGGAAAGAAUAGGUGAGGAGACCACCACUACCAGCUACCAAGACCUAUUAUAAAGGAACUUAAUUUCACGUCCAAGGGAAUCUAUAAAAGGAUUCAGAAGAUACCCCCAGAAGCUUGUCCACAGGUAAGCAUAAACCACCCCCCCCCCCAGCCAAGGAUGCAGACCACACCCUUCCCCCUAAAUGUGAGUCCUUCCAGUCCCAGGGCUCAACUGAAUAAUCCCACUUCAAGCAAAGGGCUAAAAGCAGUAUGACUAUGACCUAGGUAACACUAAGAAUUGCAACGAAUUGCUAAUAAAUGGAGAAUUAAAGCCUA